rnacentral:rRNA from 1 species
UACGUAGGGGGCAAGCGUUGUCCGGAUUUAUUGGGCGUAAAGAGCGUGUAGGCGCCAGACAGGUCCGUUGUGAAAACUCGAGGCUCAACCUCGAGACGCCGAUGGAAACCGUCUGGCUAGAGUCCGGAAGAGGAGAGUGGAAUUCCCGGUGUAGCGGUGAAAUGCGCAGAUAUCGGGGAAGAGCCAGCCCUAGGCGUAAGGCGGCUCGUCUAG